UACAGAGGUCCCAAGCGUUGUUCGGAUUCACUGGGCGUAAAGGGCGCGUAGGCGGCCACCGCAAGUCAGUUGUGAAAUCUCUGGGCUUAACCCAGAAAGGUCAACUGAUACUGCGGGGCUAGAGUGCAGAAGGGGCAACUGGAAUUCUCGGUGUAGCGGUGAAAUGCGUAGAUAUCGAGAGGAACACCUGCGGCGAAGGCGGGUUGCUGGGCUGACACUGACGCUGAUGCGCGAAAGCUAGGGGAGCGAACGGG
rnacentral:rRNA from 1 species